UUAAAAUUAAAAGUGAAAACUCUCUGACUGUUAGACCAUGGCUGCUCUCAAGGCAGAUUGGUUUGGUAAUAUUCCCAAUUAGUUUGUGACAUGUCCAUUUACUCUAUAUAGGGAACAGAACUCCAUAAAUAACUGAGAUAUACUGAUUUGUCUGGUCAGCUGUCAAAUGACUUUUAUUUUUAAAGACACAUAGGGUAAAUGUGGAACGAUGUAAACAAAGAAAGCCCAGCAAAAAAGGAGUCUAUGUUUCACGACUAAAAUAGGGUUUCCCUUUCAAGACAGCCAAAAAGGUAUUGUAUUGUCAUGCAAGUUGUUACAUUUAAAUGUCACUAUUAUAUAUAAAAUGAAUACAGUGGUAUCAUAUAUUUAAUUUUAGCGUGUAAUUGGCACAUUUCAUUAUAUAUGAUGUUUAUUUAAGCUGCUGUGAAAGACUGUCAGACAACUGUGGUAGGACCAAAGACAGGCGCUGUUUCCAAGCCAGAAAAGGCUGCAAGAAAAGGAUGGACUGCUACAGCAGAAGCACCAAAGACAGGCGCUGACCCCAAGCCAGAAAAGAGGCUCAUAUAGAAAAAAGACCAAAAAAAAAAGUUACAUCAACCAUGGUCCAUGCUGGCAAGGACAAGACCCCACAAAAAAAGUACAAUGUGCAAAGCUUCAGAGAUCACCACAACUCCCAAAAAGCCAAGCAGAUGCUGUACUCCAUCAGCAUUACUGGCUUACUUCUGGAGAAAUUGAUUUUGCAUCUUACUUGCUUGCAAAAGAGUACCCAGACAACGAUAGACUUCAGUCA